CAACACAUACCUCAUCCGCAUAACAGAUGGAUCAAAUGUCAACUCCAGCCCAGGCAGUUCCCCAUUGCCUGAAACUGACUCAGUGCUCAGCAUUAUCUUGGUUUAACUGCUUUUAAAAGAUAAACAGAAGCCUAGCAGGGUUAAGUAGUGUUUCAGACAUGACAUAGGCAGAGAUUAGUGGGAACAGGAAUUCAAAUCUCGAUCUUUCUUACAGAACUUGAAUAUCUUUGUUCUUUGUACUCCUGCAGACUGUACCCAGAUGCCUGUUACCCUGGGUUCAUUUUCCUGGAAUAAAUAGCCAGAAAUACAAUUGCUGGAGCACAUGGUGACUUUCUGCUCGGUGACACAUCCUGUCUGCUGGUCUCUUCCCUCUCCGGGCUCUGGGAUGAGUGAGGCUAAGAGCAGCUCCUGUUGCAUAUCAGGACUGAGGACAAGAGACUCAUGGGAGGUGUUCAUGGGGGCUUCCCCAUCCUGAGAGGAGUGUGGAUUUUCUGUCUCCGUGGGAGCAUGUGUCUCUCUAAGAGUGUCUAAAAGAAGGUUUUCAGCAAAUCUUGAAAUAUAGACAUUCAACAGGGAUCUCACCCUCAUGGAUCUCCUGUGCCUUCCUCC
ensembl:lncRNA